rnacentral:rRNA from 1 species
AUUGAACGCUGGCGGCAGGCCUAACACAUGCAAGUCGAGCGGUAACACAGAGGAGCUUGCUCCUUGGGUGACGAGCGGCGGACGGGUGAGUAAUGCCUGGGGAUCUGCCCGAUAGAGGGGGAUAACUACGGGAAACUGUAGCUAAUACCGCAUAAUGUCUACGGACCAAAGUGGGGGAUCUUCGGACCUCAUGCUAUCGGAUGAACCCAGGUGGGAUUAGCUAGUUGGUGAGGUAAUGGCUCACCAAGGCGACGAUCUCUAACUGGUUUGAGAGAAUGACCAGUCACACUGGAACUGAGACACGGUCCAGACUCCUACGGGAGGCAGCAGUGGGGAAUAUUGCACAAUGGGCGCAAGCCUGAUGCAGCCAUGCCGCGUGUGUGAAGAAGGCCUUCGGGUUGUAAAGCACUUUCAGCGGGGAGGAAGGGUCACUAGUUAAUACCUAGUGGCAUUGACGUUACUCGCAGAAGAAGCACCGGCUAACUCCGUGCCAGCAGCCGCGGUAAUACGGAGGGUGCAAGCGUUAAUCGGAAUUACUGNGCGUAAAGCGCACGCAGGCGGUUUGUUAAGUCANAUGUGAAAUCCCCGAGCUCAACUUGGGAACUGCAUUUGAAACUGGCAAGCUAGAGUCUUGNAGAGGGGGGUAGAAUUCC